CGAGUUGGAAUUUCCUAUUUUCUCCCAGAGGUGAACAUAAAUCGAAAACAUCGAUUCGCCAUGCUAUUUUGGACAAAAUAAACAAAGUGACAGUUCGAAUGAGAGAAGGUAUAUUUUCUCCCCACGGGAGAGAAAGUGUUGCACUUUUUUCACUAGAAAUGUCAUUCGAGAAGUCUACAAUAGUAGCAAGUAAUCUGAU